GACGAACGCUGGCGGCGUGCCUAAUACAUGCAAGUCGAACGCAGUGGGGACGGGUGAGUAACACGUGGGUAACCUCCCAUCAGAGGGGAUAACACUUGGAAACAGGUGCUAAACCGAUACUGAUGGAUGGACCCGCGGUGCAUUAGCUAGUUGGUGAGGUAACGGCUCACCAAGGCCACGAUGCAUAGCCGACCUGAGCGGUGAGUCGGCCACACUGGGACUGGAACACGGCCCAAACUCCUACGGGAGGACGCGGUAGGAAAUCUUCGGCAAUGGACGAAAGUCUGACCGAGCAACGCCGCGUGAGUGAAGAAGGUUUUCGGAUCGUAAGACUCUGUUGUUAGAGAAGCGGUAUCUAACCAGAAAGCCACGGCUAACUACGUGCCAGCAGCCGCGGUAAUUC
rnacentral:rRNA from 1 species